GUAAACAGAGGAUUUGUCACACACACGGCAAUGACAUAAAACUGGUGUAGGAUGGUGCCCCUGGUUUUUCUGAAGUAUGAGAUCCUAGUCCAACCCUCCGAGUUAGGGCAUGAGAGGUCUGUAUUGGGGUGGCUGCUCUAGAAAGCUACCUUUAAAUCAAAUAUCCUUAGAAGCCAGAAUCCUUUGUUGUGUGCAGGGAACGCUCCCCAGCUGUUUUCUGUUUCCACUGAGGGCAGGACAGGAGGAAAUAAAAUGGAUCAAACAGCACAGACAGGAUUUAGCUUAGAUAUAAGAGAAAACAUCCUGACAGUGAGAAUUAUUGACCAGUCAGGGAAAGCUACAUGGGGAAGCAUAGGACUGUCUUCUCUAAAAAUCUUUUAGAAAAACCCUGACAUGAGCUGAGAAAAAGAAGGCUCUCUCUGAAUCAGUGGUCAGCAGGCAACGUUCCCAAAAAGGGGAUACCUAUUGACCAACUCCUGAUUUUCCGAAAUAUCAGUGGAGGAUGGAAAACCCUCCAGACUAAAAAAUGUACUACACGUCCCCAUAAUCUUGGUUAAUGGCCUUCACUUUUAAAAUGUAAAUACUGCCAAGUGGUCACUUUAUAUCAGCCAUUCCUACCAGUGUGAAUCAUCAGAAUCAGAGAACCUCCUAAAAAUGCAAGUAGGGUGCUUUCCCCAAGGAAUGAAAGUUUAGAGAACUCGGAAGAAAAGGCCUGGUCCAUCCUAGACGAUGAGCUGAGGGGAGCCUUUGGUGCCAGAAAGAAGGGGAGCUGCUGAAGUUGGAGAGGAUGAAAGGGAAGCAGGAAGACCUCAGACUCACUCAUCGUCUUCUUCAUGCUUUUAUCAAAGUUUCUAUCAACCUACACGACUGCUAAGGAAUGCUGCACACCCUCUGCUGCCCAUCUCUGGCUCCGUGCUGGGAAUUCCUAAGGUGGGAAUUAGAAGACUGUCAAGAUUCCUUCUGGACUAUCAUUCUCUGAUCCUGAGAUGCCUCUAUUUCCCAAAAAGCCACACACUGUCUUCAACAGAAGCUCAGAGAGUCCCAAAGGGGACGAGACGUGACAUGGACAAGGACAAAAUGGAAUCGUUAAAGGAGACACUGUAUUGAGUCGCCAUAGAAGGAGUGGAACUUUCAGAAACUGUGAGGAAACUCUUACACCAAGAGGUGUGGAAUUGUUCAGUGUCCCAGCUGGCAGGUGGAGGAGCUGAGCAUCCAAUCGCUAUGCUCCCUGGGCAUGUGCCAGAUGAGUCUCUCCUUUCUCUUUGUUGACUCUCUUCUGCUGAGCUUGUGGGGCGAGACUGAGCCUGUGGGGCGAGACGGAGCUUGUGGGGCGAGACGGAGCCUGUGGGCCGAGACGGAGCUGUGGGGCGAGACGGAGCUUGUGGGGCGAGACGGAGCCUGUGGAGUGAGACUGAGUUUAUGGGGUGAGAUUAGCUGCGUCACAAUUGGGAAGCACCAAAGGAGCCCCAGGAAAGAGAGAAGGAGUGAGAGGCUUAGACCAGCUCUGUUCUGGCAAUCAGGAGAGAAGGCUAUGUCCUUGGCCUUUGAGUCAUUUCCUCCUCUGGAAAUAGAAGGAGUAAGAUCCAGAACUCUUGCUGCCACUCCUCUCUCCCAUGCCCGCCGCAGACCAGUCUUGCUGAGCCAGAACAAAACCUCAAAAUCUUUGUCAACACAGUGCUCUAAGCAGCCAGUACUGAAACCGGCAAUCAAAACGAAACCUUUUUGCUAUUCCUGACCUGACACACAGCCUGUUUUCUUUUAAAACAUCUGAAACCCACUUACAACUCAGGCGUAAACAUUCAUCAUCGCAGAACUGCCCAAUCAGUAAAUCACGAUGACAGCAAGAAAGGUGUGACCAGCUGGUCACACACAGCUCUGUGGAACCACCUACCACUUCUUCCAUCCUGAGUGCAUCCUCUGGAUAUGAUUUAAAUAAAACUGCAGAAAAAGAAAAUGAUCUGGGAAGAGAAAAGUUGCCAUGACUCUGCCUAGAUGCUGAAAAUGAG
ensembl:lncRNA